GAACUGCUUGAAGAUCAAAUAAGACAUCUUUGCUGCAAGGAUAGGGCAAAAAUUUAACUUUGUGAACUGUCCAAAACUAAAGCAUAUUCUGUUUGUUAUGUGUUCAGUCAUCCAGUCCAUCCCUGCUGCACUUAUCAGAGAAGAGAUACAAGGCAAUGUCUCCUGCCCACCUUAAAUCAUCUGGACUUUCUCAUGUCCUGCAUACACAUCAGGGUUCAGGAUGUCUGAGAAAGCAGGGGGAACAUGAAUGA
rnacentral:lncRNA from 1 species